rnacentral:rRNA from 1 species
UAGGGAAUUUUCGUCAAUGGGGGAAACCCUGAACGAGCAAUGCCGCGUGAGUGAAGAAGGUCUUCGGAUCGUAAAGCUCUGUUGUAAGUGAAGAACGGCUCAUAGAGGAAAUGCUAUGGGAGUGACGGUAGCUUACCAGAAAGCCACGGCUAACUACGUGCCAGCAGCCGCGGUAAUACGUAGGUGGCAAGCGUUAUCCGGAAUCAUUGGGCGUAAAGGGUGCGUAGGUGGCGUACUAAGUCUGUAGUAAAAGGCAAUGGCUCAACCAUUGUAAGCUAUGGAAACUGGUAUGCUGGAGUGCAGAAGAGGGCGAUGGAAUUCCAUGUGUAGCGGUAAAAUGCGUAGAUAUAUGGAGGAACACCAGUGGCGAAGGCGGUCGCCUGGUCUGUAACUGACACUGAGGCACGAAAGCGUGGGGAGCAAUAGG